GAGAUUUCUUCUGGGAUGUUUCAGUGGUAUAUUUGGACCAGUUCAGGCUUAUGCUGUCGAAGUUUGCCGAGAAGAAUAUCGGACUUUGGCACUUUCAGUUACGAGUUCGGCGUGGGCAAUAGGUUUGAUAGUUGGACUUGUUGUUGGAGGUUUCCUUGCAAAG